AAGUCGUAACAAGGUAACCGUAGGUGAACCUGCGGUUGGAUCAUUACUAAAUUUUAGACUCGCCUGGCUUGCCAGCGAACUCUAUACAUUUUGUGAAUAGUGAAAAGUCUCUGGUGGGUUUAACAGCCCACCACUUUAACCUAGUAGAAACAUUAGCCUUUAACUAAAAAGUAUAAUUAAAAAACAACUUUUGGCAACGGAUCUCUAGGCUCUC
rnacentral:misc_RNA from 1 species